rnacentral:rRNA from 1 species
AUUGAACGCUGGCGGCAGGCCUAACACAUGCAAGUCGAACGGUAGCACAGAGAGCUUGCUCUCGGGUGACGAGUGGCGGACGGGUGAGUAAUGUCUGGGAAACUGCCUGAUGGAGGGGGAUAACUACUGGAAACGGUAGCUAAUACCGCAUAACGUCGCAAGACCAAAGAGGGGGAUCUUCGGGCCUCUUUCUAUCAGAUGUGCCCAGUUGGGAUUAGCUAGUAGGUGGGGUAACGGCUCACCUAGGCGACGAUCCCUAGCUGGUCUGAGAGGAUGACCAGCCACACUGGAACUGAGACACGGUCCAGACUCCUACGGGAGGCAGCAGUGGGGAAUAUUGCACAAUGGGCGCAAGCCUGAUGCAGCCAUGCCGCGUGUAUGAAGAAGGCCUUCGGGUUGUAAAGUACUUUCAGCGGGGAGGAAGGCGAUAAGGUUAAUAACCUUGUCGAUUGACGUUACCCGCAGAAGAAGCACCGGCUAACUCCGUG